UGACUUAUAAUACCAUUUGCUAAUUAAAAAGAGAGAAAUUGCAACAUGUAUUACAACUUACACGUCAAAAGCAACAUUGCCAUCGAUGCCUUUGAAUAUAAAGCCACUUUGUCCUAAAGCAAAAAAGAAGGAUAGCUAAGCAAAUCCGUUCAAGCUCAAGGCCUAAGAUACACUAGUAGAUAUUUUUGGAGGAUACAGUAGAA
rnacentral:misc_RNA from 1 species